UCUGAUUGGUUGCAGCGGAAAACCUUUCGCUUUUUCUUCUCUUCAGCAAGAAUUUCGCCGCUUGCCGGGUUCCUCACUUUAAGUGUGCUUCGUUGCUUUUCGUUCUGUUGGUUUCGAACUUUGGGUUCUCUGCGAUGGAGUCGGAAGGGAGGAGUUGUCCCCAUUAGAGGAGCACCCACAGACGCUCCAAGUCCUGGGGUUCACCUAAAGUGGGGAAGGCAGUCGCUUACACUCACCUAAGAAGAGCAAAAAGUGACCACUUCUCAAUACUAAGUAACGGGGCAGCAUGCCCAUUCCAAGUGUUUACGCCGCUGAGGGGACGGAGGCUGCAAUGGGAGGUGAUGUGAUAUUAGAGUGUGUCAGUCUGUAAUUGGACCUGCAUGAAAUGAUAUUCAAGCAAGAAACCAAUACAGAUUCUCAGCCUUAAUCUUGAAAAAAAAAAUCACCAAAUGAAUCUCUCACUUCCUGAAGCCUAACAGAUGAUUACUGUGCUGGAGAACUAAUUUGCCUACUGAAUGAACAGUUUAUCUUGGAGAAGAAAUUGGUCACCAGAGAACCAGGAAACCCAAAAGAACCUUCUGAGGUCAUCAGAACAUAUAGUAUCUGAAUGUCAAUGCUGCUCAUUGACUCUGAUAAAAUGAAGACAGUGCAGUCAGUGGAAGAGACACAAAGUAUGGUAUCAGAAAAGACCUGAACUAGAAUGCUAGAAC
rnacentral:lncRNA from 1 species